AUUGAACGCUGGCGGAAUGCUUUACACAUGCAAGUCGAACGGUAGAGGGGGCAACCCCUUGAGAGUGGCGAACGGGUGAGUAAUGUAUCGGAACGUGCCCAGUCGUGGGGGAUAACGUAGUGAAAAUUACGCUAAUACCGCAUACGAUUUAUGGAUGAAAGCGGGGGAUCGCAAGACCUCGCGCGAUUGGAGCGGCCGAUAUCAGAUUAGGUAGUUGGUGGGGUAAAGGCCUACCAAGCCAACGAUCUGUAGCUGGUUUGAGAGGACGACCAGCCCCACUGGAACUGAGACACGGUCUAGACUCCUACGGGAGGCAGCAGUGGGGAAUUUUGGACAAUGGACGCAAGUUUGAUCCAGCCAUUCCGCGUGCAGGACGAAGGCCUUCGGGUUGUAAACUGCUUUUGUACGGAACGAAAAGCCUUGGUUAAUACCCAGGGUCCAUGACGGUACAGUGAGAAUAAGCACCGGCUAACUACGUG
rnacentral:rRNA from 1 species